rnacentral:rRNA from 1 species
GACGUAGGGCGCGAGCGUUGUCCGGAUUUAUUGGGCGUAAAGAGCUCGUAGGCGGCUUGUCGCGUCGACUGUGAAAACCCGUGGCUCAACCAUGUGGUCUGCAGUCGAUACGGGCAGGCUAGAGUGUGGUAGGGGAGAUCGGAAUUCCUGGUGUAGCGGUGAAAUGCGCAGAUAUCGGGAGGAACACCGGUGGCGAAGGCGGUUCUCUGGGCCUUACCUGACGCUGAGGAGCGAAAGCAUGGGGAGCGAACAGG